AUGCUCUUCUGUCACGCCACCACCGAGGAGGUCUCCGCUGUCAAAGGCAUCCUGGACGUGUUUGGCACGGCUUCUAGGCUCCAGGUGAACUACACCAAGAGUUCUGCCACGGUUCUCCACGGAGAUGAUUCUGACGUGGGACUGAUUGAGCUGCUCGGGUGCCCCGUGGUGACGCUGCCGAUCACCUAUUUAGGCAUCCCACUCACCACCCGUCGCCCUUCCGCGGCCCAGCUGCAGCCUCUCGUCGACGCGGUGGCGGGCCGGCUCCCUACCUGGAAGGCAUGGCUGAUGAACAAGGCUGGUCGGCUGGCGCUUGUCAAGUCGGUGCUCAGCGCUAUCCCAAUUCACCAACUGCUCGUGCUCGCACCCCCCAAGAAAACCCUGAAGCUGCUUGAGAAGAUUCAACGAGGUUUUCUUUGGGCCGGCCGCGCGGACGCCCAUGGUGGUCACUGUCAUGUGAAUUGGCGCCGGGUCUGCCGCCCGCUCGAAUAUGGUGGCCUAGGUGUCCGAGAUCUCGAGCGCAUGGGGCUCGCGCUCCGGCUACGUUGGCUAUGGCUUGCGCGUACGGACACUGAGUGCGCAUGGCAGGGGCUGGACCUGCAGUUUUCGUCGAAAGAGCGCGCCCUCUUUCAUGCCUCCACGACCAUGGCCAUUGGGGACGGCUCGACCGCCCUCUUUUGGGAGGACCGCUAG
rnacentral:rRNA from 1 species